rnacentral:tRNA from 1 species
GAAAUAGGUUUAGAACAAUGAAAACUGCUAAUUUUCACCCCUUCGGUUAAAUUCCGGAGCUAAUUCA